GGGGUUGUGGCUCAGUGGCAGAGCGCUUGCCUAGCAUGCGUGAGGCCCUGAGUUCGAUCCCCGGCACCA
rnacentral:tRNA from 1 species